rnacentral:rRNA from 1 species
UACGAAGGGGGCGAGCGUUGUUCGGAAUUACUGGGUGUAAAGGGCGCGCAGGCGGCUCGACAAGUCAGAUGUGAAAGCCCCGGGCUCAACCUGGGAACGGCAUUUGGGACUGUCGGGCUAGAGUUCGGGAGAGGUGGGUGGAAUUCCCAGUGUAGAGGUGAAAUUCGUAGAUAUGUGGAGGAAUACCGAUGGCGAAGGCAGCCCCCUGGGCCAAUACUGACGCUCAUGCACGAAAGCGUGGGGAGCAAACAGG